UGGGGAAUCUUGCACAAUGGAGGAAACUCUGAUGCAGCGACGCCGCGUGAGCGAAGAAGCCUUUCGGGGUGUAAAGCUCUUACGCCAGGGACGAUAAUGACGGUACCUGGAGAAGCAGCUGCGGCUAACUACGUGCCAGCAGCCGCGGUAAUACGUAGGCAGCAAGCGUUGUUCGGAAUUACUGGGCGUAAAGGGUGCGUAGGCGGCGCUCUAAGUUUGGUGUGAAAUCUCCCGGCUUAACUGGGAGGGUGCACUGAAAACUGGGGCGCUCGGGUAUGGGAGAGGAAAGCAGAAUUCCUGGUGUAGCGGUGAAAUGCGUAGAGAUCAGGAGGAACACCUGCGGUGCAGACGGCUUUCUGGACCAUCACUGACGCUGAGGCACGAAAGCGUGGGUAGCAAACA
rnacentral:rRNA from 1 species